UUCUCGAUAGCUUACUUUGGUUAGAGCGGUCCCACGAUAGGGACGGUACAGGUUCGAUUCCUGUUCGAGAAGCCA
rnacentral:tRNA from 3 species